GCCGGAUUAGCUCAGUUGGUAGAGCAACUGAUUUGUAAUCAGUAGGUCGGGAGUUCGAGUCCCCCAUCCGGCA
rnacentral:tRNA from 1 species